UCAGGGAAAGUACGGAAAACCAGGAAUGAAGGGAGAAACAGGAACACCUGCAAUCCAGGGAGAUCCGCGUCAACAGGGCGAGAAGGGAGAGGCGGGAGUGCUGGGGCUACCGGGCCCGAGGGGCACCAGCGGUUCGGAUGGACCCUCAGGCCAUGACGGGCCAACGGGGUAUCCAGGGAGACCGGGUAUCUUAGGAGAAACAGGCUGGCCCGGAAUGAAGGUAAUCACUUUCUUUAUCA